ACAACAUAUCCAAAUUUGAGAUCCCUCGGAGCAGUAUAACUCCAGAAAUCCAGAUCGGUAUGCUUUCUUCAUUGAAGUUGUUCCUCAGCUCGUGAAAUACAACAUAUCCACAUUUGAGAUCCCGCGGAGCAGUAUAACUCCAGAAAUCCAGAUCUUCGAAACAUCACAACAGCUUCGAAAUCUGCAAGAAG